AAUCAAACAUUGCAAUCAUUGUUGUUCAUCGUUUAUCACUGCCACCGCUAGUCUCCAUCACCACCUCCGUUCAUCACAAUCCCCAUCGUCAUACUUCAACUGCCGUCAACCACCUCCAAGCACCAUCAACAACCAUAUCUCCGUCGUUCACUGUUCAACCUUUCGUCGCCGGUCACCAUCUCCGAUCAACUUCUUCAUCAUAAAUCUCCGGUCUUCGUCUCCGGUUAUCGUCUCCGGCCACCGCACAACCAUCACCUCCGUUCACUGCCAUAACUGCUGCAUCAUCUUCUUCUUCAUAUUAGGGUUUUUUUGUUAUUUAGGAUCUAACAAGGGGUAGUCUCUGCUACCCGGCCUAACACUUAAAAUAUAGAGUAAACUUUUUUUUGACGUUUUUUGUUUGUAUUGUGAAUUUUUGUUUAUAUUGUUCCUUUGAUCACAAAACAAGCCUCUUCUAGGGUUUUCCACCAGUUUGUUGCUGUUUUAGAGGUUUUAAGUUGUUGUUUUGUUGUAGGUUGGUGUUUGGAGAGUGAUUUUGAGUAGUGUGAUCAGUUAUGUUGGACUUUAGGAUAGUGGAUUAGGGUUUAUUGGGUGAUUUACGACAAUUUGAGCACUGAAUUUAAGUAGUGGAUUGGUUACUUUUUAAAAUGUAGUUGUACAAGCACUCAUAAACUUGGUACCAUAGCAUCGGUUUGGGGCUUCUUGAAUUUAUUUCUGUUUUUGUUGAUUACUGGUUUGGUUGGGCAUUUUUUUGUCUGUGUAAAUGUGUGAUUAUUGAAAUUGCUUCAGGUGAGGAGUAUUGAAGAGGGGUUUGAAGGCUCAUGGCAUUCAGCAACGGUGCAUUCAGCAACGGUGAAGAGGGGCUAUACGACAAAUCUGAUGGUGACCUUCUGUGACACUCAAAUGGCUGAAGUUCUACUUGCUGCAUUUCAGUUUGUGAUCUUGAGUUAAUUUGAGGUGUAGUAAAUUGAAUUUGGCUUUUUUUUCUUGUUUUUGGUGUAAAACCAUUACAAUGGUAAUUAACAGUAACUAGAUGUAAGUACCCACCGCGUUGCGGCUGGGUUCACAUCAAAACGAUACAAACAAAGCCAAAUAAAUCCAUUUAGCAAGCCCUUAUUAUAGCACCUAACCGAUGCGGCAUUGAAACCCAACCAUGGUACAAAUUUUGCAAGAAAGUAAAUCUUCAUCGAGGCGGUCAGCAACACUUAAUAGCUCAUCAUCAAUCAUCAUAGCCAUCAGCUUCAUCCCGUAAACAAACAAUAAAAAUGUAAAAAAAAAAUCAUUAAAUCAGCUUUGUAUAAAUGUAUUACCAGACAAGCUCUACCAUGUAACUAAUCAUUUCAAGCAAAUUAU
rnacentral:lncRNA from 1 species